rnacentral:rRNA from 1 species
AGAGUUUGAUCCUGGCUCAGAUUGAACGCUGGCGGUAUGCCUUACACAUGCAAGUCGAACGGUAGAGGGGCAACCCUUGAGAGUGGCGAACGGGUGAGUAAUACAUCGGAACGUGCCCAGUCGUGGGGGAUAACGUAGCGAAAGCUACGCUAAUACCGCAUACGACCCGAGGGUGAAAGCGGGGGACUCGCAAGAGCCUCGCGCGAUUGGAGCGGCCGAUGGCAGAUUAGGUAGUUGGUGGGGUAAAGGCCCACCAAGCCUGCGAUCUGUAGCUGGUCUGAGAGGACGACCAGCCACACUGGGACUGAGACACGGCCCAGACUCCUACGGGAGGCAGCAGUGGGGAAUUUUGGACAAUGGGCGAAAGCCUGAUCCAGCCAUACCGCGUGCGGGAAGAAGGCCUUCGGGUUGUAAACCGCUUUUGUCAGGGAAGAAAUCCUUUGGGUUAAUACCUCGGAGGGAUGACGGUACCUAAGAAU